GAUGAACGCUGGCGGCGUGCCUAAUACAUGCAAGUCGAGCGAACGGACGAGAAGCUUGCUUCUCUGAUGUUAGCGGCGGACGGGUGAGUAACACGUGGAUAACCUACCUAUAAGACUGGGAUAACUUCGGGAAACCGGAGCUAAUACCGGAUGAUAUUUUGAACCGCAUGGUUCAAAAGUGAAAGACGGUCUUGCUGUCACUUAUAGAUGGAUCCGCGCUGCAUUAGCUAGUUGGUAAGGUAACGGCUUACCAAGGCAACGAUGCAUAGCCGACCUGAGAGGGUGAUCGGCCACACUGGAACUGAGACACGGUCCAGGCUCCUACGGGAGGCAGCAGUAGGGAAUCUUCCGCAAUGGGCGAAAGCCUGACGGAGCAACGCCGCGUGAGUGAUGAAGGUCUUCGGAUCGUAAAACUCUGUUAUUAGGGAAGAACAAAUGUGUAAGUAACUAUGCACGUCUUGACGGUACCUAAUCAGAAAGCCACGGCUAACUACGUG
rnacentral:rRNA from 1 species